UGGCUCGAGAUUUUGACCUUGGAAUCAGUCUACGAUGGUGUUGCCUGUGUAUUGGUGGCACUUCAUCUCUCCCUCCUGAUGCGUGCGAAUCCUAAAGCAGCGGCCUCUCUCAUUGAUCCUCUCUCUUGUCUGUCGUUGUACUUCCUGACCUUUCAAUCUGUACCUGUAUUUGUUCUCAAGUCUUAGCUCAGUGACCGGUCAGCUUCAAUGUGAUGAGUUCGGCUAGAUCCGCUUGGUGAAGAAAUGGUGUACCUGUACCACCUUGGUGCGGUUCCUGGUGGUUGAUAUCCAUGGAGGGGAUGGGUCUGCAAAAGCUGGCACUAGAAAAUGGACAAGAUGGGAACAACAAGCUUCAUUCCCUCCCCUUUCUCUAAAGCCCCUCUUUUUUUUACAUCAAUUGCUUUUUAUUUUAUAAUUUUAUUGCCAAUAAUUUUGCUCAGGAAAGUUUAGAGGGAUGAUAUGCUAUUUGCUAAGCGCGAGCUUCAUUGUUCAUCAGUUUAUGGUUCACUUGCCCAAAUCAAAAAAUAUUAAUUGCAGUUGACCAAAAGCAACUAGAUCGUGCUAUUGCAUCAGUUAAAUAAACAAUCUUGACAAACCUAGAAUCCAAGGUAUGCAUUGUGAUAUGUUUCUGUAGUUUUUUUUUUUGCGAGAUGAUAUGUUUCUGUAGUUGAUGAUCCACUAAUAAUAUAAACGGACAUGUUGUACAAGUGAAGACAUGGGGCGCCAACUAUUGACAUUUAGGGGGAGAGCAGAGUAUUUUAACAUCUCUUCCCUAAACCUUGAUAUUUCGCCUGGUGCUUAUGGUUCUAUUCCAUGCAAGGCCGAGAAAUAAGGAAUAGCUUGAUGGUGACAAUGACAUGCCAACUUAUAGGUGUAUUGUAUGUUGGUACUUGGUUGCUCUUUUACUGGAAGAAAAUGAUUCGUGUUUGUUUCCGAUCUGUUUGACGAAAUUGCUCUAUAAUGGCACGUAACACAUUUUUUCAUCCUCUGAGCUGCUCAGCAUACAUGUAAAUAUUUGGACUGCGAAAUGGAUCUUAGCCAUUGACUGACAAAGAAGGGUGCGAUCUUUCACCGGAGGUAAGUCCUUGCCUUCAAGUUUGCAUGUCAUGUGUGGUGACUUUUGUUAGAAUAACUUUGCAAAUUGUAAGGAUAUACUGCCAUAUUAUCCUAUAAACUGCUAUUCCUAUUUUGGCAAGCAAAAAAAAUCAGAAUACCAUCAAAUCAGUAGGGAGACUUGCAUGUCCAAUUGUAAUUGUUUCUUUCGUACUUUCCAGAACAUUUCUGUGUUUAUUUUCUGCAUUCUGAAAUCUAGCUGGCAGCAAACUCAUAUUUUACCAAUGCAAUAAUAUGCAGUACUGCUACAUCUACAAUAUAAGCUGUGCUCUGUUGGAAACAAAGGCGCUCGUGUCUUGUAUCAUGGAUACGUACAAACCUUUGCCCUUUGAGUAAAGGUGCAUUUUGGCACUCAAAAAAUCAUUACAGAAAUUCUUAUGUGUAUUUUAUACUGUCAAAAUAUUAACUCAUUGUCCUAGGGCUAAUGCCUUUCCAGUUCCAUCUCAAAUAUUUUACAAUCUUUCUAGCUACUAUCACUUCCUAUCUUUGGUUGGUUAAAUAAAAUAUACUUUAACUGCAUUUUACUCCAAUCAUAAUUUAUAUAACUUAAUGUAGUAAGAAUCACUCCAAGGUUAUAUUUAAGCUGAUUGGAACACUGCAUCAGCUUAUGAUUGUUAUGUUGGGAACUUGGGAUCAACAAUUUGGAUUCUUAUGUCAUGUUGCCAACGGGCCAUGAUGUUGGUUUCUUAUGUCAUGUUGCGAAUCAGGUUUUGUGGUUGUGCUAAUAGUUCCUUGGUUUUCUCUGAACAUAAAACUUUUCCCUUCUCCAACUGAACUAAACUGGAUAGUCCACUGCCUUACUCCAAUCAGGCAGUGACGACAGUGAAGAAGUGUUCGGACAGGAGACCACUGCCUUAUGUUAGAAGCCCUUCCAACUGAACAACUACCUAUAUAGAUGAGCCAAUUUGAGGAGAUCAGCACUGCAGCGACACAACGGGGAAGGAAAUCCUAUAAUAACUUGGCAUGUAACUGUUCUCUUUGUCAAACCUUUGUAAUUUUUUUCUAUUUUUAUGUGGUGAGUGUACUCCUUGGUAUGCAAUUUACUCCAGUUAUUGACAA